CCUACGGGGUGCAGCAGUGAGGAAUAUUGGUCAAUGGGCGGGAGCCUGAACCAGCCAAGCCGCGUGAAGGAAGAAGGCGCCAAGCGUCGUAAACUUCUUUUGUCGGGGAACAAAGGGCGCCACGUCUGGCGUUGUGAGUGUACCCGAAGAAAAAGCAUCGGCUAACUCCGUGCCAGCAGCCGCGGUAAUACGGAGGAUGCGAGCGUUAUCAGGAGUUAUUGGGUGUAAAGGGUGCGUAGGCGGUCAGGAAAGUCAGCGGUAACAGCCCGGGGAUCAACCCCGACGAGCCGUUGAAACUGUCUGACUAGAGACGGCGAGAAGUACGCGGAAUGCGCGGUGUAGCGGUGAAAUGCAUAGAUAUCGCGCAGAACUCCGAUUGCGAAGGCAGCGUACCGGCGCCGGACUGACGCUGAGGCACGAAAGCGUGGGUAUCGAACAGGAUUAGAUACCCGGGUAGUC
rnacentral:rRNA from 1 species